AGAAGCGAGAAGCGCGUGCUGGGCUAGGGCUUGGGGGUGUGGCUCGCUGCUCUGCGCGCAGCGGAGCUGACGACCUCCCGUCCACACCUCGUCUUCUUUGGCGUAUCCUCUCAGUGACCCCGAAAGACACCAUCACUCCGAGCACCAAGUCCGCUAAGGGCAGGGUCUCUAAGAGUCAUCUGCAAAUGCUUCCUAUUAUGUGCUCAGUCAGGAUUUGCUGAGUAGACAGGAACUGGUGGACAGACAUUAUGCAUAUAGUAGAAGACUACAAGGACAGGAGCCCUCUUGUGAAGGUUGAAUGUUCAACCAAAGCAAAGAGCACCAGUAGCAGAUGGCCAAAGACUAUAGAAAAGGAAAGUACUCGCCCGUGGUGUGUUAAAGAGAAAUUUCCUGAAAAGGGCAUCACUGAGGCUAUGUGGUGAAAAAUGUCAGAACCACAGGAUGGAAUGAGCCUGGAUCCUGGAAUCACUCCUGAAAGAAAGCUUCCUAUGAGAAAUCCCAACCAUGAACACCUGCUUUGAACUUUAUGUGAUUGAUAAAUAAACAUUAAUUGUAUUAAGCCA